rnacentral:rRNA from 1 species
UCGGGGGGCAAGUAGAGUGGCGCACGGGUGAGUAACACGUAGGUAAUCUACCUUUGGAUGGGGAAUAACAACCGGAAACGGUUGCUAAUACCGCAUAAUGCAGCGGCACCUAGUGGUGACAGUUGUUAAAGCGGGGGAUCGCAAGACCUCGCGUCUGAAGAGGAGCCUGCGGCGGAUUAGCUAGUUGGUAAGGUAACGGCUUACCAAGGCGAUGAUCCGUAGCCGGCCUGAGAGGGCGGUCGGCCACACUGACACUGACAUACGGGUCAGACUCCUACGGGAGGCAGCAGUCGGGAAUUUUGGGCAAUGGGCGAAAGCCUGACCCAGCAACGCCGCGUGAAGGAUGAAAUCCUUCGGGAUGUAAACUUCGCAAGAACGGGAAGAAUAAGUGGAAGUUAAUAUCUUCCAUGAUGACGGUACUGUUUGUAAGCUCCGGCUAACUCCGUGCCAGCAGCCGCGGUAAUACGGGGGGAGCAAGCGUUGUUCGGAUUUACUGGGCGUAAAGGGCGCGUAGGCGGCCACCGCAAGUCGACUGUGAAAUCUCCGGGCUUAACCCGGAAAGGUCAGCCGAUACUGCGGGGCUAGAGUGCAGAAGGGGCAACUGGAAUUCUCGGUGUAGCGGUGAAAUGCGUAGAUAUCGAGAGGAACACCUGCGGCGAAGGCGGGUUGCUGGGCUGACACUGACGCUGAGGCGCGAAAGCUAGGGGAGCGAGCGGGAUUAGAUACCCCGGUAGUCCUAGCCUUAAACGAUGAAUGCUUGGUGUCUGGGGUUUUAUANUCCCCGGGUGCCGUCGCUAACGCUUUAAGCAUUCCGCCUGGGGAGUACGGUCGCAAGACUGAAACUCAAAGGAAUUGACGGGGACCCGCACAAGCGGUGGAGCAUGUGGUUUAUUCGACGCACCCCAAAAACCUUACCUGG